rnacentral:rRNA from 1 species
UAGUCCACGCCGUAAACGAUGGUCACUAGCUGUUCGGACUUCGGUCUGAGUGGCUAAGCGAAAGUGAUAAGUGACCCACCUGGGGAGUACGUUCGCAAGAAUGAAACUCAAAGGAAUUGACGGGGGCCCGCACAAGCGGUGGAGCAUGUGGUUUAAUUCGAUGAUACGCGAGGAACCUUACCAGGGCUUAAAUGUAAGUUGCAUUAGCUAGAGAUAGCUAUUUCUUCGGACAGAUUACAAGGUGCUGCAUGGUUGUCGUCAGCUCGUGCCGUGAGGUGUCAGGUUAAGUCCUAUAACGAGCGCAACCCCUGUUGUUAGUUGCCAGCGAGUAAUGUCGGGAACUCUAGCAAGACUGCCGGUGCAAACCGCGAGGAAGGUGGGGAUGACGGUCAAAUCAUCACGGCCCUUACGGUCCUGGGCCACACACGUGCUACAAUGGUAGGUACAGAGAGCAGCCACUUGGCGACAAGGAGCGAAUCUAUAAAACCUAUCACAGUUCGGAUCGGG